GACGAACGCUGGCGGCGUGCUUAACACAUGCAAGUCGAACGGAAAGGCCCUGCUUUUGUGGGGUGCUCGAGUGGCGAACGGGUGAGUAACACGUGAGUAACCUGCCCUUGACUUUGGGAUAACUUCAGGAAACUGGGGCUACUACCGGAUCGGAGCUCCUGCUGCAUGGUGGGGGUUGGAAAGUUUCGGCGGUUGGGGAUGGACUCGCGGCUUAUCAGCUUGUUGGUGGGGUAGUGGCUUACCAAGGCUUUGACGGGUAGCCGGCCUGAGAGGGUGACCGGCCACAUGGGGACUGCGAGACGGACCAGAGUGCAACGGGAGGCAGCAGUGGGGAAUAUUGCACAAUGGGCGCAAGCGUGAUACAGCGACGCCGGGGGCGGGAUGACGGCCUUCGGGUGGUAAACCGCUUUCGCCUGUGACGAAGCGUGAGUGACGGUAAUGGGUAAAGAAGCACCGGCUAACUACGUG
rnacentral:rRNA from 1 species